UACGAAGGGGGCUAGCGUUGUUCGGAAUCACUGGGCGUAAAGGGCGCGUAGGCGGCUUUAUAAGUCGGGGGUGAAAGCCUGUGGCUCAACCACAGAAUUGCCUUCGAUACUGUAGAGCUUGAGACCGGAAGGGGUAAGUGGAACUGCGAGUGUAGAGGUGAAAUUCGUAGAUAUUCGCAAGAACACCAGUGGCGAAGGCGGCUUACUGGUCCGGUUCUGACGCUGAGGCGCGAAAGCGUGGGGAGCAAACGGG
rnacentral:rRNA from 1 species